GGGAGAGAUGAGAAUCUUGAAGGGCAGGUGCCUUAUUUGGAAGGAUCGUCUCAGGUUGGUGGAAGGUCAACUUGCUAGGCUCAAAAUGCAUACCUGGCGGAGCACUACUCCUUUCAGAUUCUGAGAACAGCUUGAGAAGUUCUUUCUCCUUUCUCUUCUCCCUUAUUUUCUGCAAUUCUCUAAACCUUUCUUGAAGAAGUGCUAUGGAGGAACUAGCCACAGUUGCAUCACUAUUUUGCCUACCCAUCUGAGUGUAAUUUUUCUUUUUUGUGUGUGAAAAUUGCUUGGCUAUAGUUGGUUUUCAAGGCCUGUGCUGGGGGUCCUAUAUAUGAAUAUAUAUAGGAGAAAUAUGCUACCUAUUUAGGUUCAUAUACUAAAAUUGAUUCAGGGUGAUGCAAUAUAUAAAUGAGAAUCAGCUAAUGAGUAGCAAACUCCAAGGCGAAAAGAGCCAAGGCUAGUCUAUGGAGGGUUGGGUUGGUGGAUGUGUAGGCAAAGGGACUUUUUGAAGGAGGAAGAAGGUGAAGAAAGAGAAGCCAAAUGAGGUUGGAGAGUAGCAUUUGGAAGCUUGCUUUGAAGGGAAUAAAUGGUUAGGUAAUGCGGUGUCGUGUUGUCUUUUAAAACUUCGGAGAAAACGGAGUGAAUUUUGGAUGGAUACUAUUAUUAUUAUUUUCUGAUUUUCGACUCUCUCUCCCCCAUUCUUUUUGCCUUUGAUUGGAGUCUAGUAAGGUUAGUGACGGCAAAAGGACAAAGCCAUCACAACGUUAGAUUACACCCUCUUCUUUAAAGCCACAAAAUAUUACUCUUUGCACCUUUCGUUCUGAGCCAAAUGAGUCCAGCCACUCAGACCUAUCAACUCUGCCCUUCUCUUCAUCUCCUGCAUAUUGAGAAGAUCAUCCAACAGAUUCAACAGCUUAGCUUUCUUUGCUUGUUCUUUCCCUAGAGUUUCUCCUUAGGUUGCUUACUCUUCAAAUCCAUGUCAUCGCUACUUCCAGUUGUAACAUCAACUCCUGGAUAAGAUCAUCAUGUUCCAACAGUACAGCAUAAGCUUCUUCAUCUUGUCAAUAUGUUACUAGGGCGCAUUUUACGGAUGCAGCCAUACAUCCUCAUUGAGACAACACACUUUCGUAUGCCUUGACAAUUAUGGAGGGAAGCUCAAUUUCCUAAACUCUUUACUGAUUUGAUCAGUUUCUAAUGAUUUUCCAACUUUAGAUAGUUCUCUUGCCAAGAUUCGGUAUGUAUGCAAACUAAGAGUACAGUUUCUAGAUUCCAUAAGAUAAAGAAACUUCAUGCAUAUAUCAGACUCCCCUUCCUGUAAUAACCCAUCAACUAAAACUGUCCAAACAAUCAGAUCACCAUUCCAUUGCUCAGCAAGCAAGUUCUGAAAUAUGCUCUGAGCUUUUUCCACUCGGCUUGAUCUGCAAAGUGCACAAAUGAGCACUUUAUAGAUAGACAGAUACGGCCUGGAGCCCUUAACUGCCAUUGAAUUGAAUAUUCCCAAAGCAGGGUCCACUUCUAAAUUCUUACAGUGAGCCACUAAAAGUGAGCAUGAGAUCUCCAUAUUAGGAGACAAGCCUUUCUCUUUCAUGCUUUCUACCAACUGACUUGCCUCAUAAGAUUUGCCUUCUCUACACAAGCCACUGACUAGAGUGUUGUACACAUCAAUAGUAGGUUCACAUCCAUUCUCAGACAGCCUUAAUAAAAGAUUACCAAUCAAUUCAAAAGUCGAUACUCUUUCAUCUGAGCUGCAACCAUAAACAGUCUCAUUUUGUGACACGACCCUUUCUGUGAGUAAUUGGCAUUCUUUCCGCAAUCCUUUUAACAAUAUAUUGUAAGUUCGGUAGUUUGGUUUGCAACCCAUAUCAACCAUCUGCCGAAGAAGCAUGAAUGCAUGAUCCAACCUACCGAGCAAUACAAAACCAUCAAUAAGAGAGGUAAAUGUAACCUCGUCAGGAACCAAACCUUUUGUCUCCAUUUCUCGAAGUAGCCUCUCUGCAGAAUCAGCCUUGCCUUCUUGACAUAAGCCAUAAAUAAGAGAAGUAUAUGUGUGCACAUUUGGCAAACAAUUAUUCUUUUCCAUUUCACGGAAAAUCUUGAAUGCCAGGUUGGUCCCACCAUUCCUACAAAGUCCAUCAAUCAAAGACGUGUAAGUGAUCGUGUUCGGUUGCAAUCCCUGCUGAAUCAUCUUGGCACAAAAUUUCUCAGCUUCCAAAUAUCUAUCAUCUUUAGACAAACCACUUAUAAUGGCAUUAUAAGUUUCUAUGCUAGGAGAACAACCAUUUUCUUCCAUCCUCUCAAAUAAUGACAAUGCAACAUCCAUCUUCCCCUCCUUACAAUAACCAUCAAUCAUGGCUGUAUAAUUCCACUGAUUUGGGCUUAUGCCACGUUCAAGCAUCUCACAGAAAAUAGU
rnacentral:misc_RNA from 1 species